rnacentral:rRNA from 1 species
UACGAAGGGGGCUAGCGUUGCUCGGAAUCACUGGGCGUAAAGGGCGCGUAGGCGGUCUUUUAAGUCUUGUGUGAAAUCCCUCGGCUCAACUGAGGAACUGCACGGGAUACUGGAAGACUUGAGUUCGGGAGAGGGAAGCGGAAUUCCGGGUGUAGCGGUGAAAUGCGUAGAUAUCCGGAGGAACACCGGUGGCGAAGGCGGCUCCUGGACCGAUUACUGACGCUGAGGCGCGAAAGCUAGGGGAGC